rnacentral:lncRNA from 1 species
AAGCAACAAGAGCUGUAUCUGGGAAAAUUCUGCCUGACUACAGGCGUCAGUCCUAGGAUUGCUUCAAUAAUCAACAUGAAAUGUAUAAAUGAAGAGAAAUUCAUUACUAAUUAUUUCUCCUCUCAGAGAUCAGAUGAAUAAGUGAUAUGCCUUUGCAAAUGAGGAAGGAAAAUGAUUCCCUCCACAGGAUUCCAUCUCUCCCCUAAACCCAAAGAAAGGGUGUUUUCUCCAUGAUGAGUGACCAAUUCCAUCACUCCUAUCAAAGGAAUGGUGUAUCGUGACAUUUCGCAAGUUCUUACCCCCAGUUUUCUUCUUUGCUGCCAUUUUUUUCCUUUUUAAAAAAUAAACUUUGUUUUUACAGUGGUUUUAGGUUCACAGUUAAAUUGAAUGGGAAGCAUGGAGAGUUCCCAUAUCCCCCAUAUACCCCAUAUCCCAGCACACACACACACACACACACACACACACACACACACACAACCUCCACCACCAUCAACAUCAGUCACCACAGCGGUACAUUUGUUACAUUCGAUCAACCUGCUUUGACACAUCAUCACCCAAAGUCCAUAGUUUUCCUUAGAGUUUACUUCUGGUAUUUUUUUUUUGAUAUGGAUUCUCACUCUGUCACCCAGGCUGGAGUGCAGUGGCACAAUCUCAGCUCACUGCAACCUCUGGCUUCUGGGUUCAAGCAAUUCUCUUGCCUCAGCUUCCCAAGUAGCUGGGAUUACAGGCGUGUGCCACCACACCUGGCUAAUUUUUGUAUUUUUAGUAGAGAUGGGGUUUCCCCAUGUUGGCCAGGUUCAUCUUAAACUCCUGACCUCAAGUGAUCCACCAGCCUUGGCCUCUCAAAUUGCUGGGAUUACAGGCAUGAGCCACCACACCCGGCCUGGUGUUUUCCAUUCUAUGGUGUAUUAGUGUGUUUUCACACUGCUAUAAAGAAAUACCUAAGACUGUGAGGUUUAUAAAGAGGUUUAAUUGACUCACAGUUCUGCAUGGCUGGAGAGGCCUCAGGAAGCUUACAAUCGUGGCAGAAGGCGAAGCAGGCAUCUUCACAAAGUAGCAGGAGAGAAAAUUGUGUGAAGGAGGAGCAGUCAAACAUUUGUAAAACCAUCAGAUCUCAUGAGAACUCACUCACUAUCACGAGAACAGAAUAAGGGAAACCUCCCCCAUGAUCUAAUCACCUUCUUCUCUCCACAUGUGAGGAUUACAAUUUGAGAUCAUAUUUGGGUGGAGACACAGAGCCAAACCAUAUAAUAUGGAGUUUGACAAAUACAUAAUGGCAUGUACCCACAAAUAUAGUAUUGUACAGAAUUGUUUUUUUGUCCCAAAAAUUUUCUGUUCUAAGCCUAUUCAUUCUCCCCUCUAACCCUUAGCAGCAAUUAAUCUUUUUACUAUCUUCACAGUUUUGCCUUUUCCAGAAUGUCAUAUACUUGGGACUACUCAGUAUAUAGCCUUUUUCUGAAUGUCUUCUUUCAUUUAUGAGUUUAAGCUUUUUCCAAGGGUUUUCAUGGCUUGAUUUCUUUUAAGCACUGUAUAAUAUUCCAUUGAAUGUAACAUAUCUUAUUUACCCACUUAGGUACUGAAAUAUAUCUUGGUUAUUUUACAGUUUAG